rnacentral:rRNA from 1 species
UAGCGUAGUAAUUUGUUUUUUAAUUGGGAACGGGUAUGAAAGGUUUGACAUUAUUAGUCUGUAAGAAUUUGAUAGGCUGAACUUAAAUUUUGAGUAAAAAUGCUUAAAUAUAAUAAGGGGACGAUAAGACCCUAAAAUCUUAAUUUAUAUGGGUUAGGUAGUGAGUUAACAGUUAAGUUUUGCUGGGGUAGUAUUUACAAAAUAUUUGUAAUAAAAAUAACAUUUUGGAUAAAAGAGGUUUUUAUUAAAAUUAUUCGGAAUAGUUACUUUAGGGAUAACAGCAUAAUAAUUUUGGUGAGUACUUAUUUAUGAAAUUGAUUAUGACCUCGAUGUUGAAUUAAAAGUUUUUUCUGAGGAAGAAGGCAGAUAAAAAGGUUUGUUCAGCCUUUAAAAUUUUACAUGAUUU